CCGCUGUGGUUGGCGAGGCCGCCUGCUUGGCUUCGGCAGCCGCCGCUUUGCCCUGAAGCUGGAGAGGAAGGCGCCUCCAGGGCUCUCUAUGGGGAGAGUUUUCCUGGUGCAGAGUUUUCCACUGCUGCAGAAAUUCAACAGGCGCAAGUUUCCCAGAGUUUAAAGGACUUUUCAUUGUAUCUGUGAAUAGUCACGCAGCCAUGAUAUGAGACUGGCCUGGGCAUGGCGGCUACUCCUGUGAUAAUGCUGGUUGCAGGGUCGUAACAAAGAAUGGUAUCUGUGGCUUCUCCAUUUUCACGCCUCCCACCAAGGAUAUAGAUCUUGCCAUUACAUACAGACAUGCCACAAUUUUCCUGUUCAUCAAAUAUACAAAGAUGUGAGCAUUAAAACAAAAGGGAACAGAGCUGGAAUGAGGGGAAACAGGAAGACAAUGGGAGUGAAAAUGGAAGCAGUGGAGAAAGCAGCAGGAGUACGGCACUGAACAAGGGAGUCCAGAAGGGCUGAGAUAGAAAGUGGGAAGUGAAAGAAACUACAAGCAGCUGUACUUGAUGUAUACUAAAUAAAAAUGUUUG